CCGGUUCGCACGCCUAGCCCUGCCAGCGGACCUGUCCGUUCAAUUUCACCGGCAGGGGUGGAGGACCCAUUACCGGCGCCCUCGGCGUCUUGGGGUGAAGUGCGGCCACUUCCCGGCAGCGUCCCGCUGUUUGCCGCGCCGAGACACUCUCUCUCGAACCCGACAGCUAACUUCGCAGGCGUGUAGAGAGGAAUC
rnacentral:sRNA from 2 species